UGAUGAGAAAUUUAAGAUUGUACCUGACUAAAAUGAAAAGAACCUUUUUGUUUUUUAGAUGCCUGCCCUGUGGCUGCCCUGGGCUACCAAUUAUGGUGCCACCUUGUCUAACUUCUCACUCUGUCCAUUUUCCUCCUCACGAAAAUUUACCUGCACAAUGUUUCAUCCCCCCAGGGCCUUGCUUCUAGUUUCUAUGGCAACAGUGAGCUAACCCACGCUUUAUGUGCCCUUCCUACCGUCUCAAGCAAGGGAGACUUUAGGAGAUGACAAUGUCUUCCUGGAAGUGAAAUGACAUUAAUGGGAAAAUCUCAAACUAAGAUUUAAGACUGAUUGUUUGAAACCAGCAAUCUGUAGUACCUCUCAAAUUAAAACAUGGAAGUCAUCUUCCUUCCUACUUCAUAUAGAGCCAACCUGGUGCCUUGUUAUUCCUAUGCUUUCCUUUGCUAAACAUCAUGUCCUAUUCGCUGUGAUCAUAGUGACAUGCUGGCUGUGGUCUGUCCUGCUGAGCGCUGUGACUGCACAGGUGAUAUCCAAAUUCAAUCAUCUAACACUUUUUCUCAACUUUCACUAAUGCAGGAAGAAGUAACACUGGAGUCAACAACAACAACAACUGCAAAACAACCUCUGGCAAUUUCUUAUCCUGUGUCUGACUGACCUCUUUUACAUCCAAGGGCAUAUCAACUCCUAAGAAGUCCUCAGGGCCAUUCCCUGGAUCAGGGACUCUGUGCUGAUGGUGGUAAUGGGGCCCUCCGAUAUCAGCUUGGGAGCCAUAGCAGCUGCCUGAGAAGAAGCUGCAACUUGGAAUAGACUUGGAAGCCCCCGACACACUUGGUUCUGCAAUUUAUCCUGAGCCUAUGUCAGGUGAUUCUGCAGUCCUCAAUUAUGGCUUUGAGAGGCUAGAAGAAGUUCUCUGCUUUCCUUUCACCAUCUGCCAUGAUUGUAAAUUUACUGAGGCCUCCCUGUCAUGUCUCCUGUUAAGCCUACAGAACUGUGAGUCAAUUAAACCUCUUUUCUUCAUAGAUUACCCAGUCUCGGGUAGUCCUUUAUAGCAACGUGAGAACAAACUAAUACAUUCUAUGGCCUUAGGGUUGUGCAUAUGAGUCUAAAAUGUCAUUGUCUGCUCAAAAUAAGAAGGAGAGUUGUUAAGCUAUGCGGGAACUGGGGAAAAUAUAAAACUAAGUACCCUGUACUUAAGUCAUACCUGUAUAGUUUAUGGGAUGAAUAUACUCAAAAGUUUUAGGUUGCAACCGUGUUGGCAUUACUGGGCAUUUUGUAUAUCUUGAGAUUUAAGGGGUCCCAAGAAAAACUCCUUCCCCAAACUUCUCCCCCAGGACUCCAUAAAAUUCUUACAUCCUGCACUUCCUUGCAAAAGGGCAGAUAUCCUUGAUUAAGAGAUGCAAGGUUACCAGUGUACUUUGUAGCUUACAUGGCAGCUCUCCAAGCUGAUUACCAGCAAUAUCUUCAUUGCUGCACCACAUUUCCUGGUUGAAAGUGCCAACCAGCAAUAUCUUCAUUGCUGCACCAUAUCUCCUGGUUGAAGGUGCCAGGGGCAAGUCAUGCAGGAACAGCACUGCCCUCUCUCUCACUUGUACUGACCAGCUCCCUGUAAGCACCAUUCUUUCAGGUUUCAAGGAAAGGAAAAGAAGCUUCUCCCACACUAGAAGGUUAGGGUACCCUGAGUUCAAGUAUGUAGGUCACCUGCUAACUUGGAGUUUUAUGUAAGACAGUUAAAUCUUAGCAUUCUUUCACAUAUUAGUGUAAAUUUAGAAGGGACUUGACAUAGGAGCAAGUAGACUUACAUUUGGACUGAAAAGCCCUGAAUUUGAAUCUCAGCUUUUCGUGUCAUAGCUGUAUGAUGUGGGGCAAGUUACAUAGCUUCUUUGAGGCUCAUUUUCUUCAUCUGUAAAAGUGGAGUCAUAAUAUUUAUCUUGCAGCAUUGUUCUAAGGAUGGAAUAACAUCUGCAGUUAUGCUUGGUACUUAGUAGGGAGUUAAUCUAUGUUUAUCUAAUAAAUAGAUCAUUACUUUAUACUUUUCAAAAUGCUUUUAUAUGUAGUAUCCAUUUGUUCUUCUAAUACCCGUAAGGUAGACAAGGGUAAGGGCAAAACCAGUAGAACCAAGGAUUUCUGACUCCCCAGUAGUAGCUCUGGUGCUUCACAAUAGUGUAAAUUUGAAGAGAACAAUGGAAUAGCACAUUCAUCUACUUAGUUUGGACUUCAACGAGUUAGAUUGAAACUGUCAGAGGGUGGUGAAUGGACUUGUCAUUCAAAUAAAACACUCAGCUGUCUCUCCAUGUUUGGGAAAUCAGUUUAUUUGCUCCCAGGUAUUGGGCUGUGUCUUAUCACUGUGCAAUUCAAAAAGUUUAUUUCAGAACUUUAACACAGAACGUUUUCCCCUUAUAAGUCCCUAGAGGCCAUCUGAAUAACCUAAGCAGUAUGCUUUGAAGUUCAUGUUGUCCCUCUGAAGCAGCUGACAGAGUGAGUGACUUACACAUUGCCAGCUCAUCUGCAUUAGGUCACAGGUUUUCUUCAAUCCCAAGAUGGAUGCAUUUUUUUGUAGUUGAUGUGCAUUUGGAACAGUUCCUUUGAAAGGACACUGGUCCUCUUCCUCAACCCAGGAGGUUCAGAGAUACACA
rnacentral:lncRNA from 1 species